UUUGAAGCACUGGAUUUUAAUACCCCAUAUAGAAUAUAUAUACCUGGGCAUUGGAUAAAUUAAGCUACUUUCUCCUCUGUAACCUGGCAUCAUGGCUGCAAGACUUACAGGGAAUCAGGCAAGAUAUUUUUAUUUUUCUCUCAAUUUAACUACUAACACAGGAAUCUAAUAUAAUGUACUUGAGACUUAUUUUCUAAGGAUCUGAGUUAUCUUCUCAGCUUCUAGGUCACUUUCCUAUCUUUGUUUUGUCUUAGACAAGUAAGUUACUGUGGCCUCUGUUCACUGACUGGUAGAUUAUACAGUAGAAAGUAUUCUGAUAGUCAAAA
rnacentral:lncRNA from 1 species